rnacentral:tRNA from 1 species
GAGGCAUUAGCUCAGCUGGUAGAGCACCUGACUUUUAAUCAGGGUGUCGUAGGUUCGAAUCCUACAUGCCUCACCA